rnacentral:tRNA from 1 species
GCCCCGGUAGCUCAGCUGGAUAGAGCGUCCCCCUCCUAAGGGGAAGGUCGGAGGUUCGAAUCCUCUCCGGGGCGCCA